GAUGAACGUUGGCGGCGUGCCUAACACAUGCAAGUCGAACGAACGAUAUUGAAUGAAAACCUCGGUUAGAUUUUAAUAAAGUUAGUGGCGGACGGGUGAGUAACACGUAAGUAAUCAACCCAUGACAGAAGAAUAACUAAGAGAAAUUUUAGCUAAAACUUCAUAAAUUAAGACUACGGGAGUAGACUUAAAGAAAACUGAGGUGGACAUGGACGAGCUUGCGACUGAUUAGCCAGUUGGUGAGGUAACGGCCCACCAAAGCAACGAUCAGUAGCCGACCUGAGAGGGUGAUCGGCCACAUUGGUACUGAGAACGGACCAAACUCCUACGGGAGGCAGCAGUGGGGGAUAUUGCACAAUGGAGGCAACUCUGAUGCAGCAACGCCGCGUGAGUGAAGAAGGCUUUCGAGUCGUAAAACUCUGUCGUAUGGGAAGAAAAAAAUGACGGUACCAUACAAGAAAGCCCCGGCUAACUACGUGCCAGCAGCCGCGGUAAUACGUAGGGGGCAAGCGUUAUCCGGAAUUACUGGGCGUAAAGGGUGCGUAGGCGGUAAUAUAAGUUGGAGUUUUAAACCAUGGGCUCAACCCAUGUCAGGGCUCCAAAAACUGUAUAACUUGAGUACUGGAGAGGAAAGUGGAAUUCCUAGUGUAGCGGUGAAAUGCGUAGAUAUUAGGAGGAAUACCGGUGGCGAAGGCGACUUUCUGGACAGUAACUGACGCUGAGGCACGAAAGCGUGGGUAGCAAACAGGAUUAGAUACCCUGGUAGUCCACGCCGUAAACGAUGAACACUAGGUGUUGGGAGUAAUCUCAGUGCCGUAAGCAAACGCAAUAAGUGUUCCGCCUGGGGAGUACGGUCGCAAGACUAAAACUCAAAGGAAUUGACGGGGACCCGCACAAGUAGCGGAGCAUGUGGUUUAAUUCGAAGCAACGCGAAGAACCUUACCUAAGCUUGACAUGGGAGUGAAAAAUAUCAUAAAGAUAUAAUAGAGCUUGCUCACACUCCACACAGGUGGUGCAUGGUUGUCGUCAGCUCGUGUCGUGAGAUGUUGGGUUAAGUCCCGCAACGAGCGCAACCCCUAUUACUAGUUGCCAGCAGGUUAAGCUGGGCACUCUAGAAAGACAGUUAGGGAUAACCUAAAGGAAGGUGGGGAUGACGUCAAAUCAUCAUGCCCCUUAUGCUUAGGGCUACACACGUGCUACAAUGGCUAUAACAAAGAGAAGCGAAUUCGUGAGGAAGAGCAAACCUGAAAAAAAUAGUCUAAGUUCGGAUUGUAGGCUGAAACUCGCCUACAUGAAGCCGGAGUUACUAGUAAUCGCAGAUCAGAAUGCUGCGGUGAAUGCGUUCCCGGGUCU
rnacentral:rRNA from 1 species